CGUAUGGUGCGAGCGUUGUCCGGAAUUAUUGGGCGUAAAGGGUACGUAGGCGGUUUACCAAGUCAGAUGUUAAAAGCGUGGGGCUCAACCCCAUAAAGCAUUUGAAACUGGUAAAACUUGAGUAGUGGAGAGGAAAGUGGAAUUCCUAGUGUAGCGGUGAAAUGCGUAGAUAUUAGGAGGAAUACCAGUUGCGAAGGCGACUUUCUGGACACAAACUGACGCUGAGGUACGAAAGCGUGGGGAGCAAACAGGAUU
rnacentral:rRNA from 1 species